rnacentral:rRNA from 1 species
GCGGCGCACAUAAGACAUGCAAGUCGAACGGACUUAACCAUUAGUUUACUAUUGGAGCGGUUAGUGGCGGACUGGUGAGUAACACGUAAGCAGCCUGCCUAUCAGAGGGGAACAACAGUUAGAAAUGACUGCUAAUACCGCAUAUGCCUUAAUUACCACAUGGUAAUAGAGGGAAAGGAGUAAUCCGCUGAUAGAUGGGCUUGCGUCUGAUUAGAUAGUUGGUAAGGUAACGGCUUACCAAGUCGACGAUCAGUAGCCGGACUGAGAGGUUGAACGGCCACAUUGGGACUGAGAUACGGCCCAGACUCCUACGGGAGGCAGCAGUCGGGAAUAUUGCGCAAUGGAGGAAACUCUGACGCAGUGACGCCGCGUGCAGGAAGAAGGUUUUCGGAUUGUAAACUGCUUUAGACAGGGAAGAAACAAGACAGUACCUGUAGAAUAAGCUCCGGCUAACUACGUGCCAGCAGCCGCGGUAAUACGUAGGGAGCAAGCGUUAUCCGGAUUUAUUGGGUGUAAAGGGUGCGUAGACGGGAAUGCAAGUUGGUUGUGAACUCCCUCGGCUCAACCGAGGAAUUGCAACCAAAACUAUAUUUCUUGAGUGCUGGAGAGGAAAGUGGAAUUCCUAGUGUAGCGGUGAAAUGCGUAGAUAUUAGGAGGAACACCAGUGGCGAAGGCGACUUUCUGGACAGUAACUGACGUUGAGGCACGAAAGUGUGGGGAGCAAACAGGAUUAGAUACCCUGGUAGUCCACACCGUAAACGAUGGAUACUAGGUGUAGGGGAUGAAUAAUCUUCUGUGCCGUCGCAAACGCAGUAAGUAUCCCACCUGGGGAGUACGGCCGCAAGGUUGAAACUCAAAGGAAUUGACGGGGGCCCGCACAAGCAGUGGAGUAUGUGGUUUAAUUCGACGCAACGCGAAGAACCUUACCAGGGCUUGACAUAUACAUGAAAAUCUAAGAGAUUAGAUCCCUCUUCGGAGCAUGUAUACAGGUGGUGCAUGGUUGUCGUCAGCUCGUGUCGUGAGAUGUUGGGUUAAGUCCCGCAACGAGCGCAACCCCUGUUCUUAGUUGCCAGCAUGUAAAGAUGGGAACUCUAAGAAGACUGCCGGUGAUAAAUCGGAGGAAGGUGGGGACGACGUCAAAUCAUCAUGCCCUUUAUGUCCUGGGCUACACACGUACUACAAUGGCUGUAACAAAGGGAAGCGAACCCGCGAGGGGAAGCAAAACCCAUAAAAGCAGUCUCAGUUCGGAUUGAAGGCUGAAAUUCGCCUUCAUGAAGCCGGAAUUGCUAGUAAUGGCAGGUCAGCAUACUGCCGUGAAUACGUUCCCGGGCCUUGUACACACCGCCCGUCACACCAUGAGAGUUGGGGAUACCCGAAGCCUGUGAGCUAACUGUAAAGAGGCAGCAGUCGAAGGUAGAAUCAAUGAUUGGG